rnacentral:rRNA from 1 species
UACGUAGGUGGCAAGCGUUUGUCCGGAAUUAUUGGGCGUAAAGCGCGCGCAGGUGGUUUCUUAAGUCUGAUGUGAAAGCCCACGGCUCAACCGUGGAGGGUCAUUGGAAACUGGGGGAACUUGAGUGCAGGAGAGAAGAGUGGAAUUCCACGUGUAGCGGUGAAAUGCGUAGAGAUGUGGAGGAACACCAGUGGCGAAGGCGACUCUUUGGCCUGUAACUGACACUGAGGCGCGAAAAGCGUGGGGAGCAAACAGGG